GACGAACGCUGGCGGCGUGCUUAACACAUGCAAGUCGAACGAGAAAGCACCUUCGGGUGUGAGUACAGUGGCGAACGGGUGAGUAACACGUGGGCAACCUGCCCCAGAGACCGGGAUAACGCUCCGAAAGGGACGCUAAUACCGGGUGAUGCGCGAUCUGCCAAGUAGGUCGCGCCAAAUGGUAGCUUCGGCUUCUGCUCUGGGAUGGGCCCGCGCCGGAUUAGCUUGUUGGUGAGGUAACGGCUCACCAAGGCGACGAUCCGUAGCUGGUCUGAGAGGACGAUCAGCCACACUGGGACUGAGACACGGCCCAGACUCCUACGGGUGGCUG
rnacentral:rRNA from 1 species